GACGAACGCUGGCGGCGUGCUUAACACAUGCAAGUCGAGCGGUAAGGCCCUUUCGGGGGUACACGAGCGGCGAACGGGUGAGUAACACGUGGGUGACCUGCCCUCAGCUCUGGGAUAAGCCCGGGAAACUGGGUCUAAUACUGGAUAUGACUCCAUGACGCAUGUUGUGGGGUGGAAAGCCUUGUGCGGCUGAGGAUGGGCCCGCGGCCUAUCAGCUUGUUGGUGGGGGA
rnacentral:rRNA from 1 species